UACAGAGGGUGCAAGCGUUAAUCGGAAUUACUGGGCGUAAAGCGUGCGUAGACGGUUAUUUAAGUCAGGUGUGAAAGCCCCGGGCUCAACCUGGGAAUUGCAUUUGAGACUGAAUAGCUAGGGUGCGGAAGAGGGAAGCGGAAUUUCCGGCGUAGCGGUGAAAUGCGUAGAUAUCGGAAGGAACACCAGUGGCGAAAGCGGCUUCCUGGUCCAGCACCGACGUUCAGGCACGAAAGCGUGGGGAGCAAACAGG
rnacentral:rRNA from 1 species